rnacentral:lncRNA from 1 species
GUGGGAUUUCUAGUGACUAGCAUGCAUAUACAAUUCAAAAUUUAUAUACCAAAGCAACGGAAGCAUGUUAUCAAAUAAUAUCAAAGCUAUAGUCAUGCAAAUCCCCUUCAAGAUGCAUAGGUUUAUGUAAGAUGCAUCAAAACAAUUUAUUGAAGAACAAAGUGUAGGAGUAGUUUUAUACCUCUUGAUCUAGACUUUAGACCAAGGAUGGACCACCUCCAAGCCCUUUGUUGUUGGAACUCCUUGAGCCUAGCCUCCCUCCUUGCCUCCUCCACUUUGUUAGAAUGAGUGCUCCUUGGUUCUCCUUUAGUCUCCAAAG